rnacentral:rRNA from 1 species
ACAUGCCUACACCAUAGUGUUAAUGCACUGGAUCCCAUCAGAACUCUACAAUUAAGAGUGCUCAGGAUAGAGUAGUAUUGGGAUGGGUGAUUUCCCAGGAAGUCUUAGUGUUUUACAUGCC